CCUACGGGAGGCUGCAGUGGGGAAUUUUGGACAAUGGGCGCAAGCCUGAUCCAGCCAUUCCGCGUGCUGGAUGAAGGCCUUCGGGUUGUAAACUGCUUUUGUACGGAACGAAAAGGCUCUGGCUAAUACCUGGGGCUCAUGACGGUACCGUAAGAAUAAGCACCGGCUAACUACGUGCCAGCAGCCGCGGUAAUACGUAGGGUGCGAGCGUUAAUCGGAAUUACUGGGCGUAAAGCGUGCGCAGGCGGUUAUGUAAGACAGAGGGAAAAUCCCCGGGCUCAACCUGGAAACUGCCUUUGUGACUGCAUGACUAGAGUCCGGCAGAGGGGGAGGAAAUUCCGCGUGUAGCAGUAAAAUGCGUAGAGAUGCGGAGGAACACCGAGGGCGAAGGCAAUCCCCUGGGCCUGUACUG
rnacentral:rRNA from 1 species